rnacentral:lncRNA from 1 species
AGCUGCUGCAACCCGCUGCCCUCUGGUGUCCUGCUGUGGGAGCUUUGUUCUUUCACUCUCGUAAUAAGUCUUGCUGCUGCUCACUCUUUGGGUCCGCACUGUCUCUGUGAGCUGUAACACUCACCGCGAGGUUCUGUGCCUUCGUUCUUUAAGUCAGGGAGACCACGAACCCACCGGGAGGAACAAACAACUGUGAUGCGCCAUCUUUAAGAGCUGUAACAUUCACCGCCGGGGUCUGCGGCUUCAUUCCUGGAGUGAGUGAGACCACGAACCCACCAGAAGGAAGAAACUCUGGACCCAUCUGAACAGCUGAAGGAACAAACUCCGGACACACCAUCUUUAAGAACUGUAACACUCACCGGGAGUCUCCGUGGCUUCAUUCUUGAAGACAGCGAGACCAAGAACCCACCAGAAGGAAUGAAUUCCGCACACAGCAACAGCACAAAGUUAAACCAGGAAGUCCCUCUGCCUUGCUAGGGAUCCAGGUUUGCCUUCCUGUUGAGGUAUCCCAUUUCAUUACAGUUGACCUAAGUUUGAACAAACACUGCCACCUGAUGCAUGAAAGCUCUACUGUGACCUACGUUAAAAGGAGCUGACACUCCCUCAGGCUACCUUAGUCAGUGGGGGCUUACUGCAGCAUACCUGUGGCGAUGAGAGAGAGAGGCACAUCACAGGAGCAUCUGGCACCAGUGGCAUCCUGAAUUUAAGAUGAAACAAUAGAGAAAGAACCAAGAAGUUACAUACAUUCAUCAGAAUUGCUGGAGAGUCCUGACCUCUGGCCAUCGAUCAAAGGGAAGCGUUCACUACUGAAGGUUUGUCUUCACUGUACUGGGUAUUCAACUUCCUUGAAAUUAAAAGGAAGAAGGAUAAAAAGUGGUAUGCUGAAUGGAUUAAAGGUCUUUUUGCCUGAUGCAGAAUAUUGGUACAUAUGCUGGGGUCAACAUUUAAUGACUCUGGGUCUUUUUCUUGAGCAGAAUCUAAGGGAUAGUCUUUCAUUUUAUAGAUGUGUUUUAGAUUACUCAUAAAUUCAUUACUUUUUCCUCACACACAUUAUAACAUCUCUUAAGGCUCUGCCCAUUGACACGAAUCUCAGGAUUAUUCUAUAAUGUCUCUCUUCUCUGGGGUGUCUUCUUUCUGGGGAGAUUUGUAUAUCUUGGAGUCUGAGACUUCACUAUGUACUCCUUCCUUAUCAUCAUUUAUAAACCUAUUCAACAGACUCUGCCCCAGAAUGGAUUCUUGAGCAAUCUUGAAUAAUUACACGAGUAUCCAAAGAUACUGAUUUUAGGAGAACAAGGUUGUUGGGUACAGGUAGUUAAUUAUUCCUAAAACUGAAUAUGUCCAAUACCUAUGUCUUGAGAAGCUCUAAGAGAGUAACAGAAGAGCAACAAUGGAAUGUGACAAUUGCCUGCACUGUCUUUCUAGGUUGAAAAUCCAAGAAAUUUACAUGCACUGAAUUUUAUUUCCUUUAUUUGCCUAUUUAUUCACACCAAGAAUUCAGGGUCCAUGUUGCUGUAGUGGAAAUUGGUUAUUUCUGUUUUAGUCUUGAAUUGUCUAAUUUUGUUCAACUUGCCUGGUACGGAGGGGAGAUUCACCAGUGGGCCUCACCUGUAAGUGAGGGUCACAUCUGUAAUUCUCUGAUCUCGUGAUGCAGAAGUAGGCCACAUCUUCCAUUUUCAUCCUUGGAUUCCUGUGGAAUUUACAGAUGCACAGAUAGAAGUCAUUUAGUCUUAGAUAGAUACCUUCAUCUGCUUUGUCAAUUGAUGAUGAAUAAGACUGAGUUGAAUGUAUUUAGAAUGUCUUGGCUAUAAAUUCCUCCAUAUAGCUUAACCCACUGUUUCCUGCAGUAUGCACCCCUUUACCAAGAGAGAGAAAGAGAGAAAGAAUUUCAUGUUUCUGUGGGUUUUAGAAGGCUAUAGGAAGGGAUUUUUGUUUGCUCAUUUUCAGAACUUAUUAAUAGACAGUUAUUGAAUACCUACCUUGGGCACAGAAAUAAUCACAUUCUCUCCUGAGAAUUUUCAACCCACAGCCAAGUACAGGUGUGGAAAUUUGAUGAUAGAAUUAAUACCAAUGGAAAAAGGGGCCCACAGAACUGAAAAAGUGGCCACUGGUGAUGACAGUGACCUGGGAGGGAGCGAGGCAACCUAGAGAGACAAUGUGGGGAAUCAUCACGUUCCAUUACAGCGCCCUUCUCUUACUCUCUUGGAGCUUCUCAAGCCACAGGUGUCAGUCAUAUUGGUUUUAGAGAUUAUUAGUAACUACCCAAACCCAACAAUUUUGUUUUCCUGAAACUAGAAAUGUCCUGUUUCCAACUUUAUAUUUUCAUCAACUUCUUUUUCUAUGAUGUGUGAGAAACUAGAAUAUUCAGUGUGCUUUCUUGAAUACCAGCCUUGUUUCAACUCUUUAAUGAGUGGACUAUUCUCUGAAGCUGGCCCUCAGUCUUACUCUGGGUUCAUCAACCAAGGUCAAGAUCUGUCCACAUGCACGUAACAGGAGCACUUUUCCGAGAAUUGUAAAGGAGCCACGGUGCAAAGCCUUCUGGACCUGGGUCUCAUGUGAAAACUCAGCAAUGAGCCUCCUGGCCUGAGAUGAGCCUGCGGAGCACCUUGUUACAGCACGCAUAUGAUGUAUAUAAAAAAUGAACACAUGUAUUCCAAUUACACUGAUUUGAUCUUUACAAACUAUAUGGAUGUAUUAAAUUGUCACAUGUACCCUCAAAAUAUGUACAUCUAUUAUGUAUCAAUAAAAUAAUUAACAUAUUUUUAACUUGUUUUUGGUAGAGCCGUAACAUCUGGGGAGCAAUUAAUUGCAGAAGCAAUUAAUCUGGCUAUUGACUGAUAUUUACUCAGGACAAGGAAAACUAUCAUUACUAAGUAAGAUGUGCAAGAAAGAUUAAUUCACAGUAAGCAAGAUUUUUGUAGCUUGUACUGCUAUAAAUUUGUAUUACUGACUGACAUUGGGACCAUCUACAUGUAAAUCCUACAAAUCAGGACAGAACAGUGACCUCCUCAAGUGCUCAUCAUACUUAUCUCAGUUUCCAGAAGUCAGCAAUCAAUCUGAAAAGGUAACUAAAAUGGCACUUAUAAGAACCAUAGAUUGGUAAAGUUAAUUAUCCAUAUUUGUUAAUAAUACAAAUAAUAGUUAAUAUUUAUAAUGCCCCUACCAUGUACCAGGCUUCAUGCUAAGUACUUUAUAUUUUUAAAUUUUUAUUUCAAUAGCUCUUGGGGUACAAGUGGUUUUUUGUGGCAUGGAUGAAUUAUACGGUGGUGAAUUUGAAGAUUUUAGUGCACCUGUCACCCAAGUAGUGUACAUUGUA